AUUGAACGCUGGCGGCAGGCCUAACACAUGCAAGUCGAACGGUAACAGGAAGAAGCUUGCUUCUUUGCUGGCGAGUGGCGGACGGGUGAGUAAUGUCUGGGAAACUGCCUGAUGGAGGGGGAUAACUACUGGAAACGGUAGCUAAUACCGCAUAACGUCGCAAGCCCAAAAAGGGGGACCUUCGGGCCUCUUGCCAUCGGAUGUGCCCAGAUGGGAUUAGCUAGUAGGUGGGGUAACGGCUCACCUAGGCGACGAUCCCUAGCUGGUCUGAGAGGAUGACCAGCCACACUGGAACUGAGACACGGUCCAGACUCCUACGGGAGGCAGCAGUGGGGAAUAUUGCACAAUGGGCGCAAGCCUGAUGCAGCCAUGCCGCGUGUAUGAAGAAGGCCUUCGGGUUGUAAAGUACUUUCAGCGGGGAGGAAGGGAGUAAAGUUAAUACCUUUGCUCAUUGACGGUACCCGCAGAAGAAGCACCGGCUAACUCCGUG
rnacentral:rRNA from 1 species